GAUGAAGAACGUAGCGAAAUGCGAUACGUAAUGUGAAUUGCAAAUUCAGUGAAUCAUCGAGUCUUUGAACGCACAUUGCGCCCCCUGGUAUUCCGGGGGGCAUGCCUGUCCGAGCGUCAUUGCUGCCCUCAAGCACGGCUUGUGUGUUGGGCCCCGUCCUCCGAUCCCGGGGACGGGCCCGAAAGGCAGCGGCGGCACCGCGUCCGGUCCUCGAGCGUAUGGGGCUUUGUCACCCGCUCUGUAGGCCCGGCCGGCGCUUGCCGAUCAACCCAAAUUUUUAUCCAGGUUGACCUCGGAUCAGGUAGGGAUACCUGCUGAACUUAAGCAUAUCAAUAAGCGGAGGA
rnacentral:misc_RNA from 1 species